rnacentral:tRNA from 1 species
GUGGCCGUAGUUCAAUGGCAGAGCGCUUCACUGUGGAUGAAGAUGUUGUGGGUUCGAGCCCCAUCGGCCACC